GAUGAACGCUAGCUACAGGCUUAACACAUGCAAGUCGAGGGGUAACGAGAGGAAAGCUUGCUUUCCUUGUCGACGACCGGCGCACGGGUGAGUAACGCGUAUCCAACCUGCCCCCAACUAGGGAAUAACCUUGCGAAAGUAAGACUAAUACCCUAUAAUUUCCUCAGAUGUCAUCUGACGAGGAAUAAAGAUUUAUCGGUUGUGGAUGGGGAUGCGUCUGAUUAGCUUGUUGGCGGGGUAACGGCCCACCAAGGCAACGAUCAGUAGGGGUUCUGAGAGGAAGGUCCCCCACAUUGGAACUGAGACACGAUCCAAACUCCUACGGGAGGCAGCAGUGAGGAAUAUUGGUCAAUGGGCGGAAGCCUGAACCAGCCAAGUAGCGUGCAGGAUGACGGCCCUAUGGGUUGUAAACUGCUUUUAUACAGGAAUAAAGUUAGCCACGUGUGGUUAUUUGUAGGUACUGUAUGAAUAAGGACCGGCUAAUUCCGUGCCAGCCGCCGCGGUAA
rnacentral:rRNA from 1 species